rnacentral:rRNA from 1 species
GAUCCUGGCUCAGGAUGAACGCUAGCUACAGGCUUAACACAUGCAAGUCGAGUGGAAACGACACCGAAAGCUUGCUUUUGAUGGGCGUCGACCGGCGCACGGGUGAGUAACGCGUAUCCAACCUGCCCAUCACUUGGGAAUAACCUUGCGAAAGUAAGACUAAUGCCCAAUGAUAUCCCACGAAGGCAUCCGAAUGGGAUUAAAGAUUUAUCGGUGAUGGAUGGGGAUGCGU